rnacentral:rRNA from 1 species
UGGGGAAUAUUGCACAAUGGGCGCAAGCCUGAUGCAGCCAUGCCGCGUGUAUGAAGAAGGCCUUCGGGUUGUAAAGUACUUUCAGUCGGGAGGAAGGUGGUAAGGUUAAUAACCUUAUCAAUUGACGUUACCGACAGAAGAAGCACCGGCUAACUCCGUGCCAGCAGCCGCGGUAAUAUGGAGGGUGCAAGCGUUAAUCGGAAUUACUGGGCGUAAAGCGCACGCAGGCGGUUGAUUGAGUCAGAUGUGAAAUCCCCGGGCUUAACCCGGGAAUUGCAUCUGAUACUGGUCAGCUAGAGUCUUGUAGAGGGGGGUAGAAUUCCAUGUGUAGCGGUGAAAUGCGUAGAGAUGUGGAGGAAUACCGGUGGCGAAGGCGGCCCCCUGGACAAAGACUGACGCUCAGGUGCGAAAGCGUGGGGAGCAAACAGG